rnacentral:rRNA from 1 species
AUUGAACGAUGGCGGCAUGCCUUACACAUGAAAGUUGAACGGUAACAGGUCUUCGGAUGCUGACGAGUGGCGAACGGGAGCCUAAUACAUAGGAACGUGCCUAGUAGUGGGGGAUAACUACUCGAAAGAGUGGCUAAUACCUCAUGAGAUCUACGGAUUAAAGCAGAGGAUCGAAAGCCCUUGUGCUCACAGAGGGGCCGAUGGAAGAGUAGGUAGUUGGUGGGAUAAAAGCUGACCAAGCCGACGAUCUGUAGCUGGUCUGAGAGGACGAUCAGCCACACUGGGACUGAGCCACGGCCCAGACUCCUACGGGAGGCAGCAGUGGGGAAUUUUGGACAAUGGGCGAAAGCCUGAUCCAGCAAUGCCGCGUGCAGGAUGAAGGCCUUCGGGUUGUAAACUGCUUUUGUACGGAACGAAAAGCCCCGGGUUAAUACCCUGGGGUCAUGACGGUACCGUAAGAAUAAGCACCGGCUAACUACGUGCCAGCCGCCGCCGUAA